rnacentral:ncRNA from 1 species
UCAAAAAUAUUGAUAAGGAAGAGUACGUAAUAGUGAUGCUUUUAGAGAACCGGCGUUGGUGGGAGUCCGGUAGCUAGCUGUUAUGGAAAGCAGCCUUGGAGUUUCUUAUGAAGAAAUGAGCAUAAUCCUAUAUAUGUUCAAUAAAUAAGACGUUACCUCACGUUAUAGAGGCACGGAAUUUUAGUUCCGGUUGAGAGAGUGUCUUAUGACACUAACUAGGGUGGUACCGCGAAUAUACUCCUUCGUCCCUUAU